AGCACUUGCUUCAACUGAUUCCUCUCUCACCAAAUGUUUCAGGCUUCAGUGGGACUCAUGUCUUAAAAGAAAAAUCACUGUUGUACUUGCUUCCCAGUUCACCGCCAAGGGCCCUUCUCUGGGCUGUGUAGGUGGCACAGGCACUCCAGGACUCAAAUCUCUUCCCUUUGCUCCAGCGUGUGGGCACAGCUGCAGCAAAAAAUAGUGAGUUUUCUCACUUCCAAACACUUUGGUGCGGGUUCUGGUGUUGAUGCAGUUGCUAAGUGACAGCAUUUCCCCGAUCCCACCGCUCCGUACCCUGCUCUACAGCAGCAGAAAGCUUUCUCCACAGGAGCAGGCUGUGACAGGGUGGCUCAGCUCUUAGCUUUGCUCUUGGGCACGUGUUGCCUUGUUUCUGCCACGUUUAUCAGUAGUAAUUUUUUCUUGUUCUCCCCAGCAGUUACACGCAGAGCAGGGUUCCCCGGGGAGCUCCACCGGUGUGGUGCUGGAGAUCCAGCGUGUUACUCCUGUGCUGCUGGCUGCACGGCGACAGCGUGGAAGAGAGGUGUUCCCCUUCUCCAUCACUUACCCCACAGGGUCUUCAAAGCCCUCAGAGGUCUUCUCAGGCUGGAGUGUGAGUGACAGCAAGUCGAACACCGAAAACUAAUGAAAGCCAGAUGCCUUGGCCUGUCCCAGGAACAGGGAAAGGAUUAAAAACAGACCUCAGCAGCCUGAAAAUCUGCAGUUACAGGAACCUGCUCCAGGACCCAGGGUCUCCCAAGCAAAAGAGGAGUCUGGGAAGGGCAUAUGUUUGUGACACCGACACACGGUGCGUGCAGGCGGUGGAGGGGACCGGUACUGCUGACACAAGGAGAGUCACUGGAGCAGAUCCCUGGAUUUAAUGUGAAAAUUUUUUUAAGCCUUUGUUUGAGGAAGCUACCAGGAGCACAGCUACAGUCAAAUAACUCUUUGCAAUGCCGUCAUUACCAGCAACAGGGGAAAAAAGCACAAGCUCAGCUGAAAGCAAUGGAGUUGCUCUGCUUUGACCCGGGC
rnacentral:lncRNA from 1 species